rnacentral:rRNA from 1 species
GUCUGUGAUGCCCUUCGAUGCCCUGGGCCGCACGCGCGUUACACUGACUAUUGCAACGAGUUCUUCCCUUGCCAGAAGUUGGUUGGGUAAGCUGAAAAGGUAGUCGUGAUGGGGAUUGUGCAUUGUAAUUAUUGCUCAUGAACGAGGAAUUCCUUGUAGGCGUAGGUCAUCAGCCUACGCCGAAUACGUCCCUGCCCUUU